CCUACGGGAGGCAGCAGUGAGGAAUAUUGGUCAAUGGGCGGAAGCCUGAACCAGCCAAGUCGCGUGAGGGAUUAAGGCCCUAUGGGUCGUAAACCUCUUUUGUCAGGGAGCAAGGUCGUCCACGUGUGGGCGUAUGGAUAGUACCUGAAGAAAAAGCAUCGGCUAACUCCGUGCCAGCAGCCGCGGUAAUACGGAGGAUUCGAGCGUUAUCCGGAUUUAUUGGGUUUAAAGGGUGCGUAGGCUGUCGGAUAAGUCAGAGGUCAAAUGCCCGGGCUUAACCCCGUGCCUGCAUCUGAAACUGUUCGACUAGAGAGCGGAUGCAGCAGGUGGAAUGAGUAGUGUAGCGGUGAAAUGCUUAGAGAUUACUCAGAACACCGAUUGCACAGGCAGCUUGCUAAUACGCAUCUGACGCUGAUGCACGAAAGCGUGGGUAGCGAACAGGAUUAGAUACCCCAGUAGUC
rnacentral:rRNA from 1 species